rnacentral:rRNA from 1 species
GAUGAACGCUGGCGGCGUGCCUAAUACAUGCAAGUCGAGCGAACAGACGAGGAGCUUGCUCCUCUGACGUUAGCGGCGGACGGGUGAGUAACACGUGGAUAACCUACCUAUAAGACUGGGAUAACUUCGGGAAACCGGAGCUAAUACCGGAUAAUAUAUUGAACCGCAUGGUUCAACAGUGAAAGACGGUUUUGCUGUCACUUAUAGAUGGAUCCGCGCCGCAUUAGCUAGUUGGUAAGGUAACGGCUUACCAAGGCAACGAUGCGUAGCCGACCUGAGAGGGUGAUCGGCCACCCUGGAACUGAGACACGGUCCAGACUCCUACGGGAGGCAGCAGUAGGGAAUCUUCCGCAAUGGGCGAGAGCCUGACGGAGCAACGCCGCGUGAGUGAUGAAGGUCUUCGGAUCGUAAAACUCUGUUAUUAGGGAAGAACAAAUGUGUAAGUAACUAUGCACGUCUUGACGGUACCUAAUCAGAAAGCCACGGCUAACUACGUG